rnacentral:rRNA from 1 species
ACGGGUGAGUAACGCGUGGGUAACCUGCCUCACACAGGGGAGUAACAGUUGGAAACGGCUGCUAAUACCGCAUAAGCGCACAGUACCGCAUGGUACAGUGUGAAAAACUCCGGUGGUGUGAGAUGGACCCGCGUCUGAUUAGCUAGUUGGCAGGGCAACGGCCUACCAAGGCGACGAUCAGUAGCCGACCUGAGAGGGUGACCGGCCACAUUGGGACUGAGACACGGCCCAAACUCCUACGGGAGGCAGCAUG